rnacentral:rRNA from 1 species
GACGUAGGGGACGAGCGUUGUCCGGAUUCAUUGGGCGUAAAGCGCGCGUAGGCGGUUACGCAAGUCGGUUGUGAAAGCCCCCGGCUCAACUGGGGAGGGUCACGCGAUACUGCUCGACUCGAAGGCAGGAGAGGGAAGUGGAAUUCCCGGUGUAGUGGUGAAAUGCGUAGAUAUCGGGAGGAACACCGGUGGCGAAGGCGGGUCUCUGGGCCGUAACUGACGCUGAGGAGCGAAAGCAUGGGGAGCGAACAGG